rnacentral:lncRNA from 1 species
UCCUGUUGAAACACAAACAAAAUAACAAUCGUCCAUUAAGACACCCAACUCAAGCACCAGUGUUUCAUUUGUAAGGGGAGAAGGUGGAGACCCCACUAGGCUCCAAACCGGAAAGGGCACUUUCCAGUUCCUGCCCAGCUAUGCCACCAAAUUCACUGUGUCACCUUGGAUAAGUCAUUUCCCUUCUCUGGGUCAUUUCCAAGUCUGGAAAAUGAAUGGACUUAUUUCUAAGACGCUGUACCCUCCUGCACUUUGGCUGUUUCUGGAGUAAGUAGCUGAGGGAGAGGCGAAACUUCAAAAACGACUUCAAUGAUGUUGCCUCCCUGGGGGUCCCUCAGGCCUGGCCUAAUUAUACGGCCUCGGGCACACCAGCAGCCCCUCUCGCCGGCCCCCAGCAGUGCUGAUCGCUCGGGGAGAUAAGGCACGACUCCAAACUGCGUCCGGAUGCGGGCCGCGGGCCCCGGCUGCCGCGCGCAUUAGCCUCUCAAUGGAGCCCUUCCGGGGCCCCGGCCCCCCGCCGUCUCCAGCAGCAUCCGGAGCGGGAAAGGCGCCGAACUGGAAGGGGGUGGGGGUGCUCUUCGGUCAACACGAGAGCCCUCUCCAAGCGCAGAAGCGCGACUCCGGAGGCUCGCCCCUCCUCGCGCCCCGUCCCACCCCACGCGUUUCUGGAAUGGGGACCCUGGGGUUUCGUUGGACCCCCUCGUCGUCACCACCGUCCCGGGAAACCUGUCAUUAAAGUCAAUUAACUUUUCCCACACCCGUUGGCCGGUAACAACCCGCUCCUAGCUUCCUCCCCGGCUCCUAAGUGC